UACGUAGGGGGCAAGCGUUGUCCGGAAUCAUUGGGCGUAAAGAGCGUGUAGGCGGCUCGGUAAGUCCGCUGUGAAAGUCCAGGGCUCAACCCUGGAAUGCCGGUGGAAACUGUCGAGCUCGAGUCCGGAAGAGGCGAGUGGAAUUCCUGGUGUAGCGGUGAAAUGCGCAGAUAUCAGGAGGAACACCGGUGGCGAAGGCGGGUCUCUGGGCCGAUACUGACGCUGAGGAGCGAAAGCAUGGGUAGCGAACAGG
rnacentral:rRNA from 1 species